rnacentral:rRNA from 1 species
AGUGAACGCUGGCGGUAGGCCUAACACAUGCAAGUCGAACGGCAGCACAGUAAGAGCUUGCUCUUACGGGUGGCGAGUGGCGGACGGGUGAGGAAUACAUCGGAAUCUACUUUUUCGUGGGGGAUAACGUAGGGAAACUUACGCUAAUACCGCAUACGACCUACGGGUGAAAGCAGGGGAUCUUCGGACCUUGCGCGAAUGAAUGAGCCGAUGUCGGAUUAGCUAGUUGGCGGGGUAAAGGCCCACCAAGGCGACGAUCCGUAGCUGGUCUGAGAGGAUGAUCAGCCACACUGGAACUGAGACACGGUCCAGACUCCUACGGGAGGCAGCAGUGGGGAAUAUUGGACAAUGGGCGCAAGCCUGAUCCAGCCAUACCGCGUGGGUGAAGAAGGCCUUCGGGUUGUAAAGCCCUUUUGUUGGGAAAGAAAAGCAGCAGGUUAAUACCCCGCUGUCCUGACGGUACCCAAAGAAUAAGCACCGGCUAACUUCGUG